CUCUCGAAAUUUUCUACUUAUCUGCAGUUCCUGCAACGAAUUGCAUAUAUUAAUAAGACUUUCGGUAUCCAAUAUCCAGGUAGUGGUAUUAUAAACUGAGAAAUUAUAAGGUGUUAUCAUAUAAAUACCUUGUGAAGCAACCACUUGCCUCUUUCUCUUGUUCUUAGGCUUGUUUGGGUCUAGGGUGGCUAUAUAAGUAGGACAAUUCCUUUUUCAAUGAUCCAGCUUCUUACAGAAGAAGCACUCUGCCUGGCUUUUGUCAACUUUUGAUGGUUUGCUCUAC
rnacentral:lncRNA from 1 species